GGUUGCUGUGUAAAGUGAAAACUAUAGUGUUUAAGGAAAGGUAUUUUAACAUUGAAGUCAAACGACAGACUCUAAAGUAAAAUUUAAAACAAGUUAUCAAAUAUAUUAUCAGCUAGAACAGACUUGGGUAAACUACGGCCUGUGGGACAGAUGCGGCCCGCUGGGUUUUCUAAUCCGCCAAACAUUGGUACAAAGUAUUGUAAAGACUGAUGUCAAUCCCUCUGUUUCAUGCAUUACAACAGAUCGACUAUAUCGUCUGUUGAUGCCAUUAAAAAGUGGCAAACAUAAAUUGUGCUAAUAUAUCUGUGAAAGUUUAUUAUUGUACAUUUUAUUCAAAUUAUUCCAUCCAGCACUCUACAUCGAUGUUUGAUAUUAACGUUUUGCCGAUAUUGUCCAAACACUUAAUUUCUGAUUCCAAUAUUAACCGAUACCAAUAUAGCGGGGCAGUGGUGGUCUGGUAGUUAAGGAAGUUAAGUGCUGCCUGCUUAUUUGGAUGAUGGGUUAAAGCCAUGCCCACCCCCUAGGGGACAGAAGUUUUUUCACCCCCGCAAAAUUUCCCAUCGCUCUUUUUUUUCACUACUUGUACUGCGAACAUUCAGGACACCCGCCGAACGCUUUUGGGUAUCAGGAACCUACACCAGAUACCUGUUUCGUGUGACUUCCACCACAGACACAACAUUCCAGCCGCGGCGCAGACGGAGGAGGAAGCAGAAGAAGGGCUGCAGGUCCGGUGUCAUGCUAAGGCUAAGGAAACAACCACACAAGCCACCUCUACUGAGCCUGUUUCUCUCCAAUGCCAGAUCACUGUUGCAUAAAACGGACGAUCUGGAAUUAAAACUCACUGGUAACCGCUGUGUUUGUGACUGCUGUGUGCCGAUUAUCACCUGGCUUCACCCGAACAUACCCAAUGCUAGCCUGCAGCUAGCAGGCUGCACUCUGCUCCACUGGGACAAGACAGAACUCUGACAUCUCUUUCUACAAUACAAAUGGUGACCCCGACGUGAUCGCUUGGGCCUGCGGACCGGGGUGGCUGGGCUCCUCCACUGGACCGGCUGUGCAACGUGCACACCAGGGGCAGCAGUUUCUAUGACCGCAACCCAAAUCACACUGCACCAUACCAACCCUC